UUGAGAUGAGUUUUCCCUGGCGCUAUAAGCGUCCUAAAGGGUUGUCGUAGACUACGACGUUGAUAGGCAGGGUGUGUAAGUGCUGCGAGGCAUUGAGCUAACCUGUACUAAUUGCCCGUGAGGCUUAACCAUACAACACCCAAGGGGUUU
rnacentral:rRNA from 1 species